UGUGGGAGCGAGCCUGCUCGCGAUGACGGCAGCACAUUCAGCAUCGAUGCAGGCUGAUCCACCGCCAUCGCGAGCAGGCUCGCUCCCACA
rnacentral:misc_RNA from 1 species